AAAAAGAAAAUUCACAUAAGAUGCUUGAUAAUGGUAUAAUGAACAGGACUGUUAUUGUUUAUAGGAACCACCAUCACUUUAUCAAGAAAUACCAGAGGCAACAUCUUAUUCAUUUUCUCAACACUAUUUUCUGCUGUUUAUUUUUACUUGUCAUAUGGUGUCUGCCGAUUCUUUUCUCAUAUUCUACUUACCACUAAUUACGACGCACUUCAUACAGUCACGAGAAACGUCACUCUAAUAUCCCGGAACACAUAGCACCUUUGCUGCCGUGUUAAAGAGGGAGACCAUGUUAUCGUUGGCCAAUACAGGCCAUUGUCAAAGACAGUGCGGUUCAAUGUGUUAAAGGUCGUUCCAGCGGGUUCCUCUGGUGGUUCAAAGAAGGCUUUCACAGCCAUGUAAGCUUCAGUUUACUAUACUGCCAGAGAAAGCUCAACUGAUAUGAUUGUGGCUGUUUCAUUGUCAUCUUAAUAAGUUUGGGUAUGAACUUAGUUCUUAUGUCGCUCUAGAUUCGAUUUUAGUUCCUUAUAUUGUUAAUGGAGAGGUUUGAUUGUUCAAAAUGCCAAGAUGAAUGUUGACACAAUUUCGAUUAAGUUUAUGUUUUUGUUUAUGUUUGGAUAAGCUAUAUGUGCUUAUGUUAAUUUUUUCUGAACCUCAUCCAAAUGCAUUUCAGAUAUUUUCAACUAUCCGGUUCUAAUUGCAUAUGACUGAUUUUGAAUACUAAGAGUAAGAGGAUAAAACAUCAUGAUUUUCCUUGUAGAUAGUGUAGGUACUAGAUCUUAUGCGAGCU